GCCCAGCGCUGCAGCCGCGCCGGGAGCCGCGAGAACAGCGGAUGCCCUCGAGCCCAGCGGGCGCGUCCCGGGACCCCUGCACCCGACGCGGCCCCCGAGUCCCCCCAGCAGCUCCCAAAGCCCGACCUUUCUAAGCGACCUUAGACCGGCCCGGGGGAGCGAAGCCCUCGAGCCCUGCGGGAACGCCCCGACCUCUGCGCCUCCUUUAAAUCUUACGCAGGUCGUGGCCGAAGGUGAAGCUCGAACGUACUAAGGGAUUCACAUCCCAUUUACCAGACUCAACGUCUGAUGGUUACACUUUUUGAGUCAGGUAUUCAGAACUACAGUAUGGCUGGAACCUUGUAGGAAAGGGGAAGAUAACACUGGAGAGGCAAGUCAGAUCAGGUAAUGAAGAACACUGAACACCAUGCUGAAGAGUUAAAAUUUCAAGUGGAGGAUAAAACACAAGCGGAUUUACAUUGAAGAAGUAUGAUUCACAAAAGGGACUUUUCCUAAUUGGAAGAAUUUGAAACCAUGCAUUUUUGCUGCAGUUUUCUGUCGGAUGAGGAAAACAUUGUCAUCUUAAACUUAGCAGUUUAAAAAGUGUAUCUUACAACCAUCCAGAGAAUGCAUAUGAAAAAUGAAUAUCCCUUGCUCCACUCCCUGAAGAAUCUGACUUGGUCUGUCUGAGAGAUGUGCACCUUGGAUAGCUCGACUGUAAAUGGGGCACAGACUACUCUGCAAAUACUGCACCUUGACUAGCCUGCAUGCAACUCAUUCUCAGCACACCUGCUGGUCUCUCUGAUAUCAGGAAUUACCCUGUAAUACGUGUAUGUGUUAAAGAAAAUCACACUGGG